GUGACUGUGGCCGGCUGGGAGUAGGCGGCAGUGAGUUUCCCUGGGAGGGCAGCGCGCUUGGCGCUUCUCCCCUCCCCCCGAUCUGCCUCCAGUCUCGGACUUGGUUGUUGCGCGCUCCGGCUCCGGCUGAGCUGGGAGAGUUGGAGGAGGUGGCGGCGGGCAGAGGUGAUGUCUGGGAGCCCUUCCUUGACAGCCCGGGCCGAGAAGAGUCCCUGCAGGAAGCAUCACCCAGGCUGGCAGAUCAUGGUAGCAGCAGCGGGGGUGGCUGGGAAGUGAAACGGAGCCAGCGGCUGAGGAGGGGCCCCAGCAGCCCCCGAAGGCCCUAUCAGGACAUGGAGUAUGAAAGACGCACCUUGGGAGGCCAAGGUGGUUGGAUCGCUUGAGGCCAGGAGUUCAAGACCAGCCUGGCCAACAUGGUGAAACCUCAUUUCUACUAAAAAUAAAAAAAUCAGCCAGGCGUGGUGAAGCAUGUCUGUAAUCCCAGCUACUGGGGAGACUGAGACAUGAGAAUCGCUUGAACCUGGGAGGUGGAGGUUGCAAUAAGCUGAGAUCGUGCCACUGCACUCCAUCCUGGGCAACAGAGUGAGACUCCAUAUCAAAAAAAUAAAUAAAAAUUUUGUAAAUUGCA
rnacentral:lncRNA from 1 species